rnacentral:rRNA from 1 species
UAGUCCGCACAGUAAACGAUGAAUACUCGCGGUUGGCGAUACAAUGUCAGCCGCCAAGCGAAAGCGUUAAGUAUUCCACCUGGGGAGUACGCCGGCAACGGUGAAACUCAAAGGAAUUGACGGGGGCCCGCACAAGCGGAGGAACAUGUGGUUUAAUUCGAUGAUACGCGAGGAACCUUACCCGGGCUUGAACUGAGGGGGAAUGAGCCAGAGAUGGUUCAGUCUUCGGACUCCCUUGG